GUGGUAUCAGCUAUCUUCGAUCUAAUUCUUUCUCUUCCGCUGGAUCUCUCUCACCAUGGCUGACUCCUCCUCCUCUAGCUCCGCCACCCACAACACCAACGCCUUUGCUCCCCUCUCCCCUGGUGCCCCGUCUGCCGCCACCAUUGCCGUCCUCAACAUCCACGGCCAUGUCCCUGUCACUCUUGAGCUCACUUUCCAGAAGUUUGCCCUCUCCGACCAUGUCGACGGCUUCCUUGAUGCCAUCCUGAUGCGCCACGACGCCAAGUGGAUGCAGAAUGAUGCGUCCAUCAUCUCCUGGCUCUACGCGAUAGUGACAAAGGACAUCAUGGAUGCAGUGUACAAGCCUUGUCUCUGCGCCUAUGAGGUGUGGCAGGCCAUCACUGGGCUCUUCCUUGACAACAGCCUGCAGAGAGCCGUCUUCGUCCAAACAUGAGCAUCACGGAGUAUUGUGGGCGCCUCAAGCGGCUCUCCGACACCCUCGCCGACGUCGGUGCCGCCAUCACCGAUCAGGCCCUGGUGGUCAACACACUACGCGGCCUCAACAACAAGUUCAGCAGCACCAUCAUUGUUCUCGGCGACAAGAAGCCCCCUCCAUCCUUUCUCUACACCCGCAACUACAUGCUCCAGGAAGAUAAGCGCAUCGAGUACUCCCGGAAGAUGGAGGCUCAAACGGCGCUGCUCGCCGCCACCACAGCUUCCUCUCCAACCAAGCCGAGACGUCCUCCUCGCCAACCUCUCCCCCGUCCAACGGCGGCAGCCACAAGAAGUGGAAGGCCACCGACCACAAGAAUCACUCCUCUGGAUCAGGAUGCAACAACUCGUUGCGCCCACCUACGAUGACCUCGACGCCGGCCUCCUCUCCGCAGUGGGCAUCUGCCUACAACCCUUGGACGGGCGUGGUCCAGGCUUGGCCACUACGCCUUGGCGUUCUAGGACCGCGACCUGGCGCUGCUUCGACCCAUGCACUGAUGGCCCUUGGCGCGCCAUCUGCCUCCUACGACGCCAACUUCAACGCCGGCGCCUCUGGCGUCCCGCCAGCCCUGUUCUCCACCCUUCACGGCAUGCCGACGCAGCAGCCGUACGGUGGUGGUUCUAGCGAAUGGUUCUUGGACACGGGGGCUUCGUCUCAUAUGGCUUCCAACUCCGGAUCUGCGCACCAAGAUGGCUCUCCUCCGAUGUGAUUCUUCAGGCAACCUUUAUCCUCUGCACAACAAGAAUGCUCAACCAUACUCCGGAGAUCAUCAAGCCCUUCAUGUAGAUCACACCACAGAGCUCUGGCAUGCUAGGCUUGGUCACCCCGGCACUACUCCUCUUCAUCGCAUUUUGAAUACAUUUGGUUUUUCAUGCUCCAAGUCUGACACUCAUACGUGCCAUGCUUGUCGUCUUGGCAAGCACGUACGGCUGCCAUUCUCUGAGUCCACUCAUGUUGCUUCCUUUCCAUUUCAACUCUUGCAUUGUGAUGUAUGGACGAGCCCAAUAAUGAGCAAUUCUAGAUACAAAUAUUAUCUUGUGAUGUUGGAUGA